CUCAUUUUUAAGUAACAACUCAACUCAGAAGAGCAGGAAAGAAGAAAAGUUCAGUCAGAGCGUUUUGUUUUUAUUUAUUGCAUUUUUUAAUUAUCGUAUGUAUUAAAAUCAGUCCAGCUAAUAUGGCAGAGGUGGGGAGACGGUCCGAAUCUUAUUCCCCAAAAUCGAGCCCUAGAGGGUCUCGUUCCCCUGUGGUUCCACGGCAAGAUUCAACUGGAACAUUAAAAACAACCAUAUCUUUGGGAAAGGGUAAAACUCCAGCGAUCUGGCAUAGCGGGCCUUUCUAUCUCAUGAAAGAACCACCUAAGAGUGAAUUGACUGGAGCAACAAACUUGAUGACCUACUAUAAUCUGGAACAUUCCUAUAACAAAUUUUGCGGUAGAAAAAUGAAGGAUCAGCUGAGUGCUUUCUUACCUAAUUUACCUGGAAGCAUAGAUGCCCCUGGAAGUCAAGACAAUAGUUCUUUAAAAUCUCUGAUUGAUAAACCUCCAAUUGGUGGAAAAGAUCUUCAACCCCUUACCGGAUCUCAGUUGUCAGGCUUCAGAUUGCAUCCUGGUCCAGUUCCUGAACAAUACAGAUUAAUGAGCCAAAUGCCUCAAAAGAAAAAACACAAGAAAAAGCACAAACAUAAAGAUGGUGAUACUCCUACACAAGAUUCUCAACAAGAUGCUAGUUUAGAGGGUGCUCAUGAAAAGAAACACAAGAAACAAAAAAGGCAUGAUGAUGAGAAAGAAAAGAAAAAGAAGAAGAAAGAAAAAAAGAAAAAGAAGGUAGGACUAUCUUAGGUGCCCAUGUGAAGGUUCUCAGUUCUUAAGGGAGCCAUGAUUCUAACAACAAAUAUAUGUUUUCCAGAAACAUGGCCCAGAUGUGCUGACUGGUGCUCCCAUCGUUGCUCCACCUGGAAUCCUGCCUCAUCCUGUUGUUAUUCCAAAGCCUAUUUGAGAAACAACAGUCAUUGUUUUCGAUGACAUAAUUUGAGAGAACUCCAAAGUUUUUUGCGUGUUUACAUUGUACAGUGAAGCAUUUUAUAAAUAUAUUUAUCAGUAUUUGGACUUUACGGAUAUAUGUAUAAAGAAGUCAUAAUUCAUUUAAUAUAAUAUGUGCAUGUGGAUGUCAGAUUCACAUUUUUGUUACUUUCAUACUUUAUAAAUAUACUCAUUGCCUGACUGUG